UGGGCAAUGGGCGAAAGCCUGACCCAGCAACGCCGCGUGAGGGAUGAAGUAUUUCGGUAUGUAAACCUCGAAAGAAUGGGAAGAAUAAAUGACGGUACCAUUUAUAAGCUCCGGCUAACUACGUGCCAGCAGCCGCGGUAAUACGUAGGGAGCAAGCGUUGUUCGGAUUUACUGGGCGUAAAGGGCGCGUAGGCGGCGCGGUAAGUCACUUGUGAAAUCUCUGAGCUUAACUGAGAACGGCCAAGUGAUACUGCUGUGCUAGAGUGCGGAAGAGGCAACCGGAAUUCGUGGUGUAGCGGUGAAAUGCGUAGAUAUCAAGAGGAACACCUGAGGCGAAGGCGGGUUGCUGGGACGACACUGACGCUGAUGCGCGAAAGCCAG
rnacentral:rRNA from 1 species